GAGUUCAUUUCAGCAGCACAUAUACUAAAAUUGGAACAAUACAGGGAAAAUUAGCAUGGUUCCUGCACAAGGAUGACAUGCAAAUUCAUGAGGCAUUUCAUAAUGAA
ensembl:snRNA U6 U6 spliceosomal RNA